UACGUAGGGGGCAAGCGUUAUCCGGAUUUACUGGGUGUAAAGGGAGCGUAGACGGCCAGACAAGUCUGAAGUGAAAAUCCAGCGCUUAACGCUGGAAGUGCUUUGGAAACUGCCGGGCUGGAGUGCAGGAGGGGCAGGCGGAAUUCCUAGUGUAGCGGUGAAAUGCGUAGAUAUUAGGAGGAACACCAGUGGCGAAGGCAGCAUACCGGCUCCACACUGACGCUGAGGCACGAAAGCGUGGGUAUCGAACAGG
rnacentral:rRNA from 1 species